rnacentral:misc_RNA from 1 species
UCACAGUUUGCACUGGCAGUCUUGUUAGAGUCCCCUUGCGGGGUCGUUCCGCUUUCACGGUCCUACCACAUGCAUGUCAAGGCCAGGUAAGGUUCUUCGCGUUGCAUCGAAUUAAGCCACAUACUCCACCGCUUGUGCAGGCCCCCGUCAAUUUCUUUGAGUUUUAAUCUUGCGACCGUACUCCCCAGGCGGCGCAUUUAUCGCGUUAGCUUCGCCACAGAAGGGGUCGAUUCCUCCUACAGCAAAUGCGCACCGUUUAGGGCCGGGACUAC